AUUUUGGAAAUGAACUGUUUUUUAAUUCCAACUUGUGAUGCACACUUUGGACUGGAAUCAAAUCUGGAAAUAGUGAUGCGUCAGGAGCAGCUGAAACCUCACGCUCCGGGUGCAAUCAUAAAACUUUCUGCUGCGGCUUCUAAUCAGGGAAGAGAUCAUCUAAUCAAAAUAGUGCUUUAGAAGAAAGAACACUUUAAUGCCGAACAUGAGCGAGGAGCUCUAACUACUGAUAAAAACUCCACUGCUUGGAGGCCAUGGGUAUUUUAAAAAGGGAUGCAAUCUGUCCAGAUAUUCCUGGCUUCUUGCUGGAUACUUGAAACCAAUCAGCCUCUGAAAAAUCUUCUGCGACUUCCACUGCAUUUUAUGUCUUGGGCUAAACUGAUCUACAACACAACUGUAUUGUCUACAGCACAGAA